UAUGCCACUGCACGAUUCUUGGUUGCC
rnacentral:piRNA from 1 species